rnacentral:rRNA from 1 species
UACAGAGGGGGCAAGCGUUAUUCGGAAUUCUUGGGCGUAAAGGGCGCGUAGGCGGCUUUUCAAGUGACGGGUGAAAGCCCUCGGCUUAACCGAGGAACUGCCUGUCAGACUGGAAGGCUUGAGACCGGGAGAGGUGAGUGGAAUUCCCAGUGUAGCGGUGAAAUGCGUAGAUAUUGGGAGGAACACCAGUGGCGAAGGCGGCUCACUGGACCGGAACUGACGCUGAGGCGCGAAAGCGUGGGGAGCAAACAGG